UUACCCCUGCGAUUCGCGUCAGGGACGAACAUGGUUGAAUCCCUAACGGCAGAUUUGGGAUCUGUCCCUGAUUGUAGUGUGCAAGCCUGCCUGGCUCUCGGGCCGGAUAGUAGGAAGCCUAAAGCAGUCAAUACCCUGAACCCACCUUACUUGGUUGGGGUUCGACCGCUCGUCCCAACGGUUUCGCGGGGUCGUC
rnacentral:other from 1 species